rnacentral:rRNA from 1 species
AGUGAACGCUGGCGGUAGGCCUAACACAUGCAAGUCGAGCGGCAGCACAGUAAGAGCUUGCUCUUACGGUUGGCGAGUGGCGGACGGGUGAGGAAUACAUCGGAAUCUACUUUUUCGUGGGGGAUAACGUAGGGACACUUACGCUAAUACCGCAUACGACCUACGGGUGAAAGCAGGGGAUCUUCGGCCUUUGCGCGAUUGAAUGAGCCGAUGUCGGAUUAGCUAGUUGGCGGGGUAAAGGCCCACCAAGGCGACGAUCCGUAGCUGGUCUGAGAGGAAGGACACCCACUCUGGACCUGAGACACGCCCCAGCCUCCGGAGAGGCGCAGUACUGGGCAAUAUGGGACGAUGCGCGCUACCCUCAUCCAGACAUACCGCGUGGGUGAAGAAUGCCUGCGGGGUGUAACGCACUUUUGUUGGGAGAGAAAAGAAGCAGGUUAAUGCGCAGCUGUUCAGACGGCACCCUAAGAAGAAGAGCCGGCUAAAUACG